UCGGGAAUUUUGGGCAAUGGGCGAAAGCCUGACCCAGCAACGCCGCGUGAAGGAUGAAGUAUUUCGGUAUGUAAACUUCGUAAGAAUAGGAAGAAUAAAUGACGGUACUAUUUGUAAGGUCCGGCUAACUACGUGCCAGCAGCCGCGGUAAUACGUAGGGACCAAGCGUUGUUCGGAUUUACUGGGCGUAAAGGGCGCGUAGGCGGCAAUUCAAGUCAUCUGUGAAAUCUCCGGGCUUAACUCGGAACGGUCAGAUGAUACUGCUUUGCUAGAGUGCAGAAGGGGCAAUCGGAAUUCUUGGUGUAGCGGUGAAAUGCGUAGAUAUCAAGAGGAACACCUGAGGUGAAGACGGGUUGCUGGGCUGACACUGACGCUGAGGCGCGAAAGCCAGGGGAGCAAACGGGAUUAGAUACCCACGUAGUCCCUGAGCGGGCUGGCAAGGCGCAU
rnacentral:rRNA from 1 species